rnacentral:rRNA from 1 species
AACGAACGCUGGCGGCAGGCCUAACACAUGCAAGUCGAGCGAGACCUUCGGGUCUAGCGGCGGACGGGUGAGUAACGCGUGGGAAUAUGCCCUUUGGUACGGAAUAGCCUCGGGAAACUGGGAGUAAUACCGUAUGUGCCCUUCGGGGGAAAGAUUUAUCGCCAAAGGAUUAGCCCGCGUUGGAUUAGGUAGUUGGUGGGGUAAUGGCCUACCAAGCCUACGAUCCAUAGCUGGUUUGAGAGGAUGAUCAGCCACACUGGGACUGAGACACGGCCCAGACUCCUACGGGAGGCAGCAGUGGGGAAUCUUAGACAAUGGGGGCAACCCUGAUCUAGCCAUGCCGCGUGAUCGAUGAAGGCCUUAGGGUUGUAAAGAUCUUUCAGCUGGGAAGAUAAUGACGGUACCAGCAGAAGAAGCCCCGGCUAACUCUGUGCCAGCAGCCGCGGUAAUACGGAGGGGGCUAGCGUUGUUCGGAAUUACUGGGCGUAAAGCGCACGGAGGCGGAUUGGAAAGCUGGGGGUGAAAUCCCGGGGCUCAACCUCGGAACUGCCUCCAAAACUAUCAGUCUAGAGUUCGAGAGAGGUGAGUGGAAUUCCGAGUGUAGAGGUGAAAUUCGUGGAUAUUCGGAGGAACACCAGUGGCGAAGGCGGCUCACUGGCUCGAUACUGACGCUGAGGUGCGAAAGCGUGGGGAGCAACA